rnacentral:lncRNA from 1 species
CCCCUCUUGGGUAGCCAUACUUGGGCAACAAUUAGCAUCAGAGUAGGUUCUCUAAUUUUUUGAUUUAAAAUUUUAGAGUUAAAGAUCUCAUGGCUGACUCAUUUGGUUCUUUGUUAGGUGAAGGACACUCAACCAUUAGACCUUCCUUUUUCAAUGGCACUAAUUAUACUUAUUAGAAAGCUAGGAUGAGAAUUUUUAUUCAAGCACAAGACUAUGAUAUGUGGAGUGUCAUACUCAAUGAUCCUCAUACACCCACAAUGAUUGUCAAUAAUAUAUGUAUGCUUAAACCUGAAA